rnacentral:rRNA from 1 species
UACGUAGGGGGCAAGCGCUGUCCGGAAUCAUUGGGCGUAAAGAGCGCGUAGGCGGUCCGGUAAGUCCGCUCUGAAAGUCCGGGGCUCAACCCCGGGAGGCGGGCGGAUACUGUCGGGCUAGAGUCCGGAAGAGGCGAGUGGAAUUCCUGGUGUAGCGGUGAAAUGCGCAGAUAUCAGGAGGAACACCAAUGGCGAAGGCAGCUCGCUGGGACGUUACUGACGCUGAGACGCGAAAGCGUGGGGAGCAAACAGG